rnacentral:rRNA from 1 species
AAGACCUUGCGUUUUUGGAGCGGCCGAUGUCUGAUUAGCUAGUUGGUAGGGUAAUGGCCUACCAAAGCUUCGAUCAGUAGCUGGUCUGAGAGGACGACCAGCCACACUGGGACUGAGACACGGCCCAGACUCCUACGGGAGGCAGCAGUGGGGAAUUUUGGACAAUGGGCGCAAGCCUGAUCCAGCCAUGCCGCGUGAGUGAAGAAGGCCAUCGGGUUGUAAAGCUCUUUCAGCCGGGAAGAAAAGGCUACGACGAAUAAUCGUAGCUCAUGACGGUACCGGAAGAAGAAGCACCGGCUAACUACGUGCCAGCAGCCGCGGUAAUACGUAGGGUGCGAGCGUUAAUCGGAAUUACUGGGCGUAAAGGGUGCGCAGGCGGUUUUGUAAGUCAGAUGUGAAAUCCCCGGGCUUAACCUGGGAACU